UAAUGAAAAGAAAGAAAGAGAGAGAGAGAGAAUGGAAGAAAAUUAAUCUCUCGGUCUCUCUCUCUCUCUCUCUCUCUUCGGUCUCUU
rnacentral:misc_RNA from 12 species